rnacentral:rRNA from 1 species
GACGAACGCUGGCGGCGUGCUUAACACAUGCAAGUCGAACGGUAAGGCCCUUCGGGGUACACGAGUGGCGAACGGGGGAGUAACACGUGGGUGAUCUGCCCUGCACUUCGGGAUAAGCCUGGGAAACUGGGUCUAAUACCGGAUAGGACCACUGCCUGCAUGGGUGGUGGUGGAAAGCUUUUGCGGUGUGGGAUGGGCCCGCGGCCUAUCAGCUUGUUGGUGGGGUGAUGGCCUACCAAGGCGACGACGGGUAGCCGGCCUGAGAGGGGGACCGGCCACACUGGGACUGAGAUACGGCCCAGACUCCUACGGGAGGCAGCGGUGGGGAAUAUUGCACAAUGGGCGCAAGCCUGAUGCAGCGACGCCGCGUGAGGGAUGACGGCCUUCGGGUUGUGAACCUCUUUCAGCACCGACGAAGCGCAAGUGACGGUAGGUGCAGAAGAAGGACCGGCCAACUACGUGCCAGCCGCCGCCGUAA